AGAGUUUGAUCCUGGCUCAGAAUGAACGCUGGCGGCGUGCUUAACACAUGCAAGUCGAACGAGAAAGUGGGCUUCGGUCCAUGAGUAGAGUGGCGCACGGGUGAGUAACACGUGGGUAAUCUACCCCUCAAUUUGGGAUAACAUUGCGAAAGUGAUGCUAAUACCGAAUAACAUCCAUAAAGCUUUGGUUUAAUGGAUCAAAGGUGGCCAAUCCUUGGAAGCUACUGUUGGGGGAUGAGCCCGCGUACCAUUAGCUAGUUGGUAGGGUAAUGGCCUACCAAGGCGACGAUGGUUAGCUGGUCUGAGAGGAUGAUCAGCCACACUGGAACUGACACACGGUCCAGACUCCUACGGGAGGCAGCAGUGAGGAAUUUUGCGCAAUGGGGGCAACCCUGACGCAGCAACGCCGCGUGAGUGAUGAAGGCCUUUGGGUCGUAAAACUCUGUCAGCAGGAAAGAAGUUACAUAUGGUUAAUACCCAUGUGUAUUGACGGUACCUGCAAAGGAAGCACCGGCUAACUCCGUGCCAGCAGCCGCGGUAAUAC
rnacentral:rRNA from 1 species